rnacentral:lncRNA from 1 species
GGGGAGUGAGCUAACAGCUGCAGGCUGAGCACACAACUGUUGAGUGCUCCUUGCACACAGCCUGUCCACAUGCAUGGCAAAAGCGUGCAUGCACGCUCCUCUUCCCUCUGCAAAGGUGGCAUCUUUUCUUUGUCUGCUCCUGGGCUGGACCUGGCUCCACUUUGCUGGACCGCGGCAAGCGAGUGCGCCUCGCCUGGGCUGGUCUCACCAUGGAGGUCCCAAGCUCCUGCAAGAACAGCCUUCGACGGAUGCUCCUCUUCUGUUGGUUCCAGGCCGGUUCCACAGACAGCCACAGGACCAGGGCAUUGUAGGCGCUCACAUCUAACAUGUUGCAGAAGAGCGACAUGGGCCAACGUCUGGUCUUGCGGCGGCAGCUGUAUGUUGCAACGAGCUGGAAUAAAAAUAAAUGAAUAAAUAAAUUACAUAUGCAAUUAGGUUGGUGAAUUAUAAUAAAACAAAAUAAAAUAAAUAAAUUACCUUGUCCAAGUUGUCAACUGCCCCUUUGCAGCGGUUGUAAUCGAUGAUUACGGUCGGCUUCUGCUGCGGUCCCUCCUGGAUCUGAACCUGAUGGUGUUUGGUGCUGAGGAGCAGAACGUUCCGCCGGCGCUUUGGAAUGUAGCUCACCGCGGUGGCGGUGGAGGUGAAGCCGAACAGGGAGGACAGAACCGCUCUGCUUUUCAUCUGGAGCAGCUGUGGGGGCAACUCUGGCUUGUUGCGCCUAACUGUUCCCACAAGACAGAUUUUUUUUUUAGCAGCUCCUCUCCAAGAACCAGCGAGGUGAAAAAAUUGUCCGUGGUGACAGUGCCAUACUAAGAAACAGUUGCAUAUUUUCAAAUCCUUUUCAUGAGCCAGUAUGUGCUAAAACGACUCUAUAGGUUAAUGAAAUGUUUCUCAGACCCCACUAUCCUCUGUGGGUCAGAAUACCAUACUUGUAAAUGCAGAGUGCCUGUCUGGUCUGUUGGAAUUGGAAAAAAAUUGACGUGACAUACCUGGCGCUGCAGGCUGCUUCCAGCACGUUUCCUACGUUUUAGAUCCUGAACUGCUGAUUUGUUUGAUUUAGUUACGGAUCACUCCAUUAGACACUAAAGAAGGCUGAGGAGACAUUUCAGCACUUAGAUUAAGGUGUUAAGAAGAUGAACACACAGCGAGGAGCUAAGUUUGCUUUUGGUUUUACUAAAUGGACACUAGGGGGUGCUAAAAGCUAGCAAAACUGCCAAGUGUGACUUAAAGAAGCACUUAUUUGUUUGAGAUAAAGCCAUUUAAAGAGCUAUACAUCAAGCAACACAUCAAACCCACAUCAGAGAUGUACCAUCUUAUCUGUUCACAUCUCAUUGCUCUUUUCUGGGUCUGACUCAUGGAGGCAGUAUCCUUGGCAAAAGAUGCCAAGAAUGUUCUUUUCCCAGCUACUUCCGCCUGCGUCUCAGUGGUGUUACAAGAUCUUUACGAGCCAGCCUGCAGAUAUGAUCCCUGCAGCGCGUUCUGGGUCAGCUCCUGGAUGUCCUACCUGAAAGACGUGCCCGAAUGCCUAAGAAGCAUACAAGGCAGCGCCAUACCCACACACUAGGGUCAUCUCAGCAGGUUCCUGUCAGACUCUGUCCUUUCUUGAUGUCCAAACUUCUCAACUUAUCUUUAUAUUUACCCUGCAAAUUAAACUCAUCACUGUCACCUUCUAUUCUUUCGGUGAGGUUGGAGAUCAGCCAGUAAAUAAAAAUCUUCAUCUCACAGUGUAGCUCCCAUUCAAUACCAUAGAUGCUUCUCCAAAGCACUGGUAGCUGUCCAGUUCCCUCAUUCCCUCACUUCAUCAAUAAGACCCCAUCCAUCCAUCAAUUUUUGUCUGCUUAUCCGGAGUUGGGCAGCAGCCUAAGAAGGGAGACCCAGACUGCCCUCUCCACAGCCACUUGGGCCAGCUCCUCCAGGAGAAUCCUAAGGUGUUCCCUAGCCAGCCAAGAGACAUAGUCCCUCCAUCGUGCCCUGGAUCUUCCUUUAAGGCUCCUCCUGGUUGGACGUGCCUCACCAGGGAGGUGUCCAGGAGGCAUCCUAACCAGAUGCCCGAGCCACCUCAAAUGGCUCCUGUUGAUGUGGAGGAGGAGCAGAUCUACUUCGAGCUCCUCUCGGAUGACCGAGCUUCUCACCCCAUCUCUAAGGCAGCGCCCAGACACCCUUCAGACGAAACUCAUUUUGGCCACUUGUAUCCACAAUCUCAAAGCUCGUGACCACAGAUGAGGUUUGGAACGUCGAACGACUGGUAUAUGAAGUGAUCUACCUUUCAGCUUAGCUCUCUCCUCACCACGACAGAUCGUUACAACGCCCACAUCACUGCAGAUGAAGCACCGACCCACCUAUCGAUCUCGUGCUUCAUCUUUCCCUCACUUGUCAACAAGAUCCUGAAAUAUUCAAACUCCUCCUAUAGAGCUCUGGGAGUUGACGUCACUUCUCCCGGCAUGCAACAGUUCAAAUCGAAACGGCGCCAUAUUGGCAUGCAGAAGCCCGCAGCUGGACUAUUUGUUAUUGUCAGAAAACUCAAUCAAACGGGAAAUGUGGUAGAUUCCUGUUGUGCCCCAGGAUGCAGAACAGACGCGGACGACAUAAGGAAUGAGGCAUCUACAGGAUUCCCCAAGAUCCGGAGCGCCACAAACGUUGGAUCAUUGUAAUAAAACGCGCUAGUGACCGGAUAAAAUGAAACUGUGGGAUCCCGAGAGUAAAGGUUUUUGCUUAUGCAGCGACCGCUUCAUAUCAGGUACUUAAACCAACGUUUCCUCAACUGUAUAUGGUAUUUACGAUUAUUAUUGGGCUUCCUAAACUUAUUUUGGCGUGGCUUUUUCUGUCUUAUUACUCAUAGCAACAAGUAAACAUCACGUAAAACGUUGCCUCGUGAGUUCUGCGUGCUGCCGUUUACGUGUUUUAUGAUCACAGCAAUUAACCGGCUAAGCUGUAUUUAAUUUUUAAGCAAUGGUUGAUCAAUUGUCAGAUCACACAUAAAAAGCACUUUGGAUUGCUAUUAUCUGUCUCACCGAGACAGAUCUCAGACAGAUCCUGAGACGCUCCUGCCUGACAUAUUUAUUUUAUUCACGGAAAAAAAUCAAACUAGUGAUUUCUCUUGGCGUUCAGUUUAUACAUUCAAACAGCACAGCACUCUAUUUAAACUACUUACGUGUAAAUCUGUUAUUUGUCCAUCCAUCCAUCCAUUUUCAUCCGCUUAUCCGGAGUCGGGUUGCGGGGGCAGUAGCGUCGAGAGGCCCAGACUUCCCUCUCCCCAGCCACUUGGGCCAGCUCCUCCGGGG